AUCUAUUAGUCUUGACCAAAUCAUGUGCCAGCCGUCGCGGUAAGACAUGGAAGACGAGCGCUAUUCAUCUUUAACAGGUUUAAAGGGUACUUAGACAGUUAAUUAAGCCUACAUAAGGGACUAACUAACUAGAGUUUAAUAGGAAAAGGAUAGAACGGUAUGUGGAGAGAUAAAAUAUUUUGAUACUUGCUAAAAUCUGACAACGGCGAAGGCAACCUUUUAUGUAAAAACUGACGUUAAAGGACGAAGGCUAUAAAUAAAGAAUAGGAUUAGAUACCCUAGUAUUCGUAGCAGUAAAUGAUGAGUGUCAUAGGUAAGUAAUAGCUUACGUAUAAAUGAAAGUGUAAACAUUCCACCUUAAGAGUAAAAUGGCAACAUAGGAACUGAAAUCAUUAGACCGUUUCUGAAACCAGUAGUGAAGUAUGUUAGUUAAAUUGAUGAUCCACAAAGAACCUUACCACAAUUUGAAUGUAAAUUCACAGGAGUUGCACGGCUGUCUUCAGUUGAUAUCGUGAGAUUUUGGUUAGCUCCAUUUAAUCAA
rnacentral:rRNA from 1 species